rnacentral:rRNA from 1 species
UGCUAAUACCGGAUAACAACAGAUGAUGCCUAUCAACUGUUUAAAAGAUGGUUCUGCUAUCACUCUUGGAUGGACCUGCGGUGCAUUAGCUAGUUGGUAGGGUAACGGCCUACCAAGGCGAUGAUGCAUAGCCGAGUUGAGAGACUGAUCGGCCACAUUGGGACUGAGACACGGCCCAAACUCCUACGGGAGGCAGCAGGA